rnacentral:rRNA from 1 species
AAAGCGCGCGUAGGUGGUUCGUUAAGUUGGAUGUGAAAUCCCCGGGCUCAACCUGGGAACUGCAUUCAAAACUGUCGAGCUAGAGUAUGGUAGAGGGUGGUGGAAUUUCCUGUGUAGCGGUGAAAUGCGUAGAUAUAGGAAGGAACACCAGUGGCGAAGGCGACCACCUGGACUGAUACUGACACUGAGGUGCGAAAGCGUGGGGAGCAAACAGGAUUAGAUACCCCGGU